rnacentral:rRNA from 1 species
AGAGUUUGAUCCUGGCUCAGAACGAACGCUGGCGGCGUGGAUUAGGCAUGCAAGUCGAACGAUAAAGGUUCCUUCGGGGACUGAUUAAAGUGGCGAACGGGUGAGUAACAGGUGGGUAACGUGCCCCGAAGCGGGGGAUAACGCCGAGAAAUCGGUGCUAAUACCGCAUACGGCCGUUUGGACCAAGGUCCGAACGGCGAAAGACUUCGGUCACUUCGGGAUCGGCCCGUCUCCGAUUAGCUUGUUGGUGAGGUAACGGCUCACCAAGGCGACGAUCGGUAGCUGGUCUGAGAGGAUGGUCAGCCACACUGGGACUGAGAUACGGCCCAGACUCCUACGGGAGGCAGCAGUCUAGAGGCUUCGGCAAUGGGGGAAACCCUGACCGAGCGACGCCGCGUGCGGGAUUGAAGGCGUUCGGGUCGUAAACCGCUGUCAGGAGGGAAGAAUGCCCGGAUGGUGAAUUGGGGAGAGACGGUACCUGCAGAGGAAGCCCCGGCUAACUCCGUGCCAGCAGCCGCGGUAAUACGGAGGGGGCAAACGUUGUUCGGAUUUACUGGGCGUAAAGGGUGCGUAGGCGGUCGCGCAAGUCUGAUGUGAAAUCUUCGCCGCUCAACGGGAAGAGGUCAUUGGAAACUGCGUAGCUCGAGUCCGGUAGAGGAGAAUGGAAUUCCCGGUGUAGCGGUGAAAUGCGCAGAUAUCGGGAGGAACACCAGUAGCGAAGGCGGUUCUCUGGGCCGGCACUGACGCUGAGGAGCGAAAGCGUGGGUAGCAAACAGGAUUAGAUACCCUGGUAGUCCACGCCGUAAACGUUGGAUACUAGGUGUGGCGUCCCGAUUAACGGUCGCCGUGCCGAAGCUAACGCAUUAAGUAUCCCGCCUGGGGAGUACGGCCGCAAGGCUAAAACUCAAAGGAAUUGACGGGUCCCCGCACAAGCGGCGGAGCAUGCGGCUUAAUUCGAUUCAACCCGAAGAACCUUACCUGGGUUUGACAUCACGGGAAAAGCUGUAGAAAUACAGUGUCCAUUAGGGCGCGUGACAGGUGGUGCAUGGCUGUCGUCAGCUCGUGUCGUGAGAUGUUGGGUUAAGUCCCGCAACGAGCGCAACCCUUAUCCUACGUUGCCAGCGGUUCGGCCGGGGACUCAUAGGAGACUGCCGGGGAUAACUCGGAGGAAGGUGAGGACGACGUCAAGUCAUCAUGCCCCUUAUAUCCAGGGCUGCACGCAUGCUACAAUGGUCGGUACAACGGGCAGCGAUCCUGCGAAGGUGAGCAAAUCCCUCAAAGCCGGCCUCAGUUCGGAUUGGAGUCUGCAACUCGACUCCAUGAAGGCGGAGUCGCUAGUAAUCGUGGAUCAGCAAAGCCGCGGUGAAUGCGUUCUCGGGGAUUGUACACACCGCCCGUCACGUCACGGAAGUCGGCAACACCCAAAGUCAGUGGCCUAACCCUUCGGGGAGGGAGCUGCCUAAGGUGGGGUCGGUAACUGGGACGAAGUCGUAACAAGGUAGCCGU